rnacentral:tRNA from 1 species
GCACCGGUAGCUCAGUCGGUAGAGCAGCUCCCUUUUAAGGAGACGGUCGAGGGUUCGAUUCCCCCCCGGUGCACCA